UAGGAUGAACGCUGGCGGCGUGCCUAACACAUGCAAGUCGAACGGAGUUACGAGAGCUUGCUUUGUAACUUAGUGGCGGACGGGUGAGUAAUGUAUGAGCAACCCUGCCUUUCAGAGGGGGACAACAGUUGGAAACGACUGCUAAUACCGCAUAAUGUGCGAGGGGGGCAUCCCCUUUGUACCAAAGGAGCAAUCCGCUGAAAGAUGGGCUCAUAUCUGAUUAGUUAGUUGGCAGGGUAACGGCCUACCAAGACUGCGAUCAGUAGCCGGACUGAGAGGUUGAACGGCCACAUUGGGACUGAGAUACGGCCCAGACUCCUACGGGAGGCAGCAGUGGGGAAUAUUGGGCAAUGGGCGAAAGCCCUGACCCAGCAACGCCGCGUGAAGGAAGAAGGUCUUCGGAUUGUAAACUUCUUUUAUGAGGGACGAAGGACGUGACGGUACCUCAUGAAUAAGCCACGGCUAACUACGUGCCAGCAGCCGC
rnacentral:rRNA from 1 species